rnacentral:rRNA from 1 species
AGAGAGAGACAUGCGCGCAUAUCAAUAAGCGGAGGAAAAGAAACUAACAAGGAUUCCCUUAGUAACGGCGAGUGAAGCGGGAAGAGCUCAAAUUUGAAAUCUUCAAGGUUCUACCUUGACGAAUUGUAGUUUAUAGAAGUGUUUUCUGUUAGUGGAGUGGCAAAAGUUCUUUGGAAUAGGACAUCAUAGAGGGUGAGAAUCCCGUAUUUGGUCAUUCCUCCUAGCGUUGUGAUACACUUUCAACGAGUCGGAUUGUUUGGGAAUGCAGGUCCAAAAUGGGUGGUAAAUUUCAUCUAAAGCUAAAUAUUGGCGAGAGACCGAUAGCGAACAAGUACCGUGAGGGAAAGAUGAAAAGAACUUUGAAAAGAGAGUUAAACAGUACGUGAAAUUGUCAAAAGGGAAGCGUUUGACACCAGUGUUGUUUUUCCGAAAAUCAAUUACGAAUGUUUUGUUUUUGAGGAGUUAUGACUUCAUCGGCUUGCUCCUUUCUUUACGAAACUUUCUUAAUGCACUUUUCGGUUAACAAGUCAACAUCAAUUUCUUUUGUUGUAAAAGGGUAUGAGGAAGGUGGCUUUCUUUUCGGAGAAAGUGUUUAUAGCCUUGUGCCUCUGCAAUCGGAGAGAUUGAGGUCUGCAGCGUAGAUCCUUCGGGGUUAGAUACGUUUGUGCUAAGUUAUAGCUUUUCAUAGACAACUUGUUGACUAUGUUUAGUCUUGUAGCUUACUCGCUUAUGCUAUUUUACCUACGCUUAGGAUGUUGAUAGUCACAGCGUGUAC